UACAGAGGUCCCAAGCGUUUGUUCGGAUUCAUUGGGCGUAAAGGGUGCGUAGGUGGCGUCGUAAGUCGGGUGUGAAAUCUCGGGGCUUAACUCCGAAACUGCAUUCGAUACUGCGGUGCUUGAGGACUGGAGAGGAGACUGGAAUUUACGGUGUAGCAGUGAAAUGCGUAGAGAUCGUAAGGAAGACCAGUGGCGAAGGCGGGUCUCUGGACAGUUCCUGACACUGAGGCACGAAGGCCAGGGGAGCAAACGGGG
rnacentral:rRNA from 1 species